UACGUAGGGGGCAAGCGUUGUCCGGAAUCAUUGGGCGUAAAGAGCGUGUAGGCGGCCCGGUAAGUCCGCUGUAAAAGUCAAAGGCUCAACCUUUGAAUGUCAGUGGAUACUGCCGGGCUAGAGUCCGGAAGAGGCGAGUGGAACUCCUGGUGUAGCGGUGGAAUGCGCAGAUAUCAGGAAGAACACCAGCGGCGAAGGCAGCUCGCUGGGACGGUACUGACGCUGAGACGCGAAAGCGUGGGGAGCGAACCGG
rnacentral:rRNA from 1 species